AGACGGAGUCUCGCUGUCGCCAGGCUGGAGUGCAGUGGCACGACCUCGGCUCACUACAAUCUCCACAUCCCAGGUUCAAGAGAUUCUCCUGCCUCAGCCUCCUGAGUAGUUGGGAUCAUAGGCACAUGCCACCACACCCAGCUAAUUUUUUAAUAUUUUUAAUAGAGACGGGGUUUCACCAUGUUGGCCAAGAUGGUCUCCAUCUCCUCACCUCGUGAUCUGCCAGCCUCGGCUCCCAAAGUGCUGGGAUUGCUGGGGUGAGCCGCUGCGCCCGGCCUUCCUCUCCUUUUUAACAAUCCUCGCCUCCCUCUUUCCCUCCUUCCUUCUCUCCUCCCUUCAACAAAUCCUUACCAAGGACCUACCAGGCAUCAGGCCCCGUGCAGACAGAAAGCUAGAGACAGCCCCUGACUUCAAAGAGCUGGCUGUCCAGGGAGCCUCUGACAGCUGUCCUCAAACUCCUUCCUCUGGGCCGCCCUGACUACCCCCAGACCACAUUACUCCCUCAAGUACACACACACAUGCACUACAGACAUACAACUACACAACCACAAAGGCUGGGGUAAUAUUUGUUCUGUGCCCAGGACUCCAGUUUUGUUUCUCCAGUGAAACCAUGAGCUUUCUUUUUUUUUUUUUUUUGAGACGGAGUCUUGCUCUGUCGCCCAGGCUGGAGUGCAGUGGCGCAAUCUCAGCUCACUGCAAGCUCCACCUCCCGGGUUCACACCAUUCUCCUACCUCAGCCUCCUGAGUAGCUGGGACUACAGGCGCCUGCCACCAGGCCCAGCUAAUUUUUUUUGUAUUUUUAGUAGAAACGGGGUUUCAUCAUGUUAACCAGGGUGGUCUCGAUCUCCUGACCUUGUGAUCCACCCGCCUCAGCCUCCCAAAGUGCUGAGAUUACAGGUGUGAGCCGCCGCGCCCAGCCCAUGAGCUUUCUUAGAACAGGAAAUAGUAUUCACCUGUGACUCUCCUACAAAUCCUAACAUAAUGCCCUGCACACACCUAAGUGCCCAAUGAGAUCUUUUUUAUCUGUAGUUAUUCUAAUUCAUUUAGUUGUGUUAUUAUUUCUAAGAAUAUUCAAUAGAUGCCCACAGGGUUUCUCUUACUGUGUUAAUAUUUUUCCAAGUUAAUUAUCAUCUCCUUCUUUCAGGAAUUCACAACUCCUAUUUACUUUUCUUGCCUUGUUGCAUUGGCCAGAAUUUUCAGAACAACAUCUGUAAGCCAUCUCUAUUAUAUUCCUGACUUUCAUGAGAAUAUUUCUGAUGUUUCACCAAUAAGUAUGGAACUGGCUGUAUGUUUUGUGAUACACAUGAGUGAAGGAAAUAACCUUCUAUUUUUAGUAUACUUAGGCUAGCCACAAAGCCAAGCAUUCCUCUAUAAGGUUAAUAAUGACCCUUCAUACAUUGCCACUGGUUAGUUAUUCUUUUGAAGUCAGUCAGGAUCUUCAAACACCAAUUUGCUGGUUGUGAUGCCCAAUUUUCCAAACAGAUCAGGAGCACUUUGUUGAAUGUAUAUUGAAUUCUGGGUGGUUCUUCUUCAACACCCACCUUGGCCUAUCCUCCUCUUGGGAGAGAGAAAUCUGGAUUUUUUUAAGCCUCCCCUUUGCUCCAGUCUAGUAAACCUCUUUGGGCAACAGAAGCCUUACUGGAAAGCUGCUUAGCUAUUAUUAGAUGGUGCUGAGGGAAGAAAGUACCUUACUCUUAUGUAAUUUCCUUGCCCUGAGGAGUAGUAUAUCCUGGUCAAUGAAAUCAGCUUGACUAUUUUUUAUUUUUUAUUUUUUUGCAUCCCAGCCUAAUUUCUUUUUAUUCCAUCUUGAAUUCUCACCCAAGCCUGAUUCAUCUUGCCUGCUUGCUUGAUUUUUCUCUUUCUCUUUCUUUCUCUCUCUCUCUUUCUUUUCUUGAGAUGGAAUCUCACUGUUGCCCAAGCUGGAAUGCAGUGCCACUAUCUCAGGUCACUGCAGCCUCUGCCUCCCAGGUUCAAGUGAUUCUCCUGCCUCAACCUCCCGAGUAGCUGGGCUUACAGGCGUGCACCACCACACCCAGCUAAAUUUUUUUGUAUUUUAGUAGAAAUGGGGAUUUGCCACAUUGGCCAGGCUGGUCUUGAACUGCUGGCCUCAAGCAAUACAUCUGCCUCGGCCUCUCUAAGUGCUGGGAUUACAGAUGUGAGCCACCGCACCCAGGCUUUUCAUUUCCUUUUUAUUUAUGUUUCACUCCAUCUUCAUUUGGUCUCUUUGCAGAGGUGGAAGUCCCCAAUGUUUUUUAUAUGAUUUCUCAUGCUCUCACAAGCCAACAGCAUUACAUGCAUUAACAUAUGUGUAUUCAGUUACUCACAUGUGCCUAUACACAGUACGCCAAUCUCAUAGAGUAACUACCUCAUGCUCACUCAUCUACACACAUUAUCUUAUCUAUCAAGCCUCCUGGGCUGAGGUCUAGGCUAGGGGCUGUGAGGCCCAGGGGUCUCCAAACUUGGGUAAGCAUACUUACUAAAGAAAAACAAUUCAGAUGUCCAGAACCUGUCCAAGGUCUACCGAAUUAAAAUCUCUGGAGGGGGGGUCCAAGAAUCUGCACUUUAAUAGGUCCUCCAGGUAAAUCUAACGAAACCAGCUCAGUCUCACAGAGCUGGUUCAAAGACCGGCACUUGGAAAGCAUGAAUACCUGCUCACUCUGGGGUACAAAGGUACCAGGAGACACUUUGUGAAAAGAUUUCCGGUCAAAUUAGUAUGGAAAAACUCUACACCAAAACCACCAUCACCGUCUCCUUAAUCAAAGUGCAUAUUAAAGGCUCUGAGAAGUCUUCCAAUAAAGAAUCUUCCUCCCUUCUUUUCUUAACUCAAUGCACAUCCCCCCAGUCCUUUCAAACCCUGUGCCCCCGAGAAAAGGCAGGCCCAGAACUCUGCAGCCCCACUUCCCCCAAGGCUGCCUGCUCAGGGAUUCCCCCGAGUCCCCCAACCAGACACCACCCUGCACCACCUGACUACUGACAUUCCAACCUUUUUUUCUCAUUUGGACUCACAAACUUCCUUAAAGGUGAGGACCUUUAUUUCCAUUUUGGAGAAAUGGUAACCGAGACUCAAAAAGUUAACUGCUGGGGGAAA
rnacentral:lncRNA from 1 species